AUCUAUGCCGUCGGUUGGGGGUUGGGAAAAAUCAGGGUUUUUUUAUAUAACCCUAUGGCGUCGGUUAUUAGGUAUUAACCGACGCCAUAGGUGCCACCUUUAUUCGACACGUGGCACCUAUGGCGUCGGUUAAUACCUAAUAACCGACGCCAUAGGGUUAUAUAUCAGAGUCUGUCUGUUUCGUCUUCCUCACUUCCUCAUUUCACACCUUGUUGAACACGAAGAACAGCCACCCACAGCAGCCCCAAACCCACGAAAAAACCCUCGCCAACCACCACUAAAACAACCUCAUUCUCCCUCAUUUCUUAACCAUUUUACCCCAUUUUUGUCUUAAAAUCUUCUAUUUUCUAUACCUAAACCUAUACUGUAAAAAAGUUUAGUUUUUUUCCCCUCUAUAUACCAAACCGAACCUAUUACAAAGAAAGGUGGUGGGUAUAACUCCGGCCACCGAUUUUAGCGGAGAAAACGUUGAGUCUCAACGUCCAUUAAGAGGUGGUCGGAUUUUUGUAGCAUUUUAUCGCCGGAUUGCGUUUAUAAGGAUUUUAUCGGAAGUGACUUUAUCGGAAGUCAAGUACAUAAUUUUUGGUAUAAGGUAUGUUUUCUUUAACUUACUUUUGUAAGAAUAUUUUUUAUAUAUAUUUAGAUAAUCCUUAAAUACUUAGAGUAAUUUUCGAAUAAUAUUAAUACAUAGGAUAGAUAUUGUUGAGUGUUGAUGAUGGAUAUAGUAAGCUAAAAAAAAAAACAAAAAUAUUGGGAUAAUAUACUAAUUAUUAUACAAAACAUAACUUAAAAAAUUAUAAAAAUAAUAAUAAUAUACUAGAAAAAUACAAACCCAUAUUAUAAAAUUUAAAUGUAUAGAAAUAUUAAAUUACAUAAAAAUUAAAAUAUUACACAUUAUUUUAUUAUUCAAUAAACUAAUUAUUAUACAAAACAUAACUUAAAAAAUUAUAAAAAUAAUAAUAAUAUACUAGAAAAAUACAACCCCCUAUUAUAAAAUUUAAAUGUAUAAAAAUAUUAAAUUACAUAAAAAUUAAAAUAUUACACAUUAUUUUAUUAUUCAAUAAACUAAUUAUU